GAUGAACGCUGACAGAAUGCUUAACACAUGCAAGUCAACUGUGGCGGACGGGUGAGUAACGCGUAAAGAACUUGCCUCACAGAUAGGGACAACAUUUGGAAACGAAUGCUAAUACCUGAUACUGUGAGAGAGCUUUGCGUCCCAUUAGCUAGUUGGGUAGGUAACGGCUCACCAAGGCGAUGAUGGGUAGCCGGCCUGAGAGGGUGAUCGGCCACAAGGGGACUGAGACACGGACCUUACUCCGACGGGAGGCAGGAGGGGGGAAUAUUGGACAAUGGACCAAAGUCUGAUCCAGAAAUUCUGGGUGAACGAUGAAGUUUUCGGAAUGUAAAGUGCUUUCAGUUGGGAAGCAGUACCAACAGAAGAAGUGACGGCUAAAUACGUGCCAGCAGCCGCGGUAAUUC
rnacentral:rRNA from 1 species